GUGGGUAAAAGGAGAAGCACCCAAAUAAAAAAACUCAAUGAAACGACGAGGUUCUGAUGGAUUUCUACGGCCGUAUAAGGGGAUUUUAAAUAAGGGAUCAUGUUGGCUGUCUUGGGCCUAUAAAAAACUUGAUGGCGAUUCUGAAAGAUGGCGGAUGGAAGCAGAAUGAAAUGGUUUUGUUCCAGAUGGGCCAGUGGACUAGGGAUUAAGAUGGUUCCGGGAAUUUAAGGUAAGUGAAAUGAAUUAUAUUUGAAAUAUACAAAGUGGACUUUAGUGAAAAUUAAAACGUGGUUCGGUGCAUAAAAAAAUCUUAAUCAAAUAAAAUAAAAAAUUUAAUACAUUUAAAAUAAUAUCGGUUCCCGUUUUGGAAAAGUGAAUUCGGAAAAAAUUAAUUUUGGAAUUUACGGUGCAGGUAAAAAGUAAAAAAAAAUUUAAUGGAAAAAAUUUAAUUUGAUCGAAAUUUACCGUUAGUGUCAAAGGUGUACGGACAAAAAAAUUAAAAAUUUUAAAAUUUAUUUUCAAGUGAAAUUGGAACAUACCGUUAGUAAAAAAGUAACCAAAUAAAAACUAACUUUUGAAAAAAAACUCUUUUUCGUGAAACUUGUCAAGGUGUGUUCUUUAAGUGAAAUAUGAACAAAAGCUUAUACAGUGAGAACCAAAAGUGAAGUGGAAUUUUUUUUUGUUUUAAAUACAGUGGGUGUAGAACAAAUGAAAAUUUUUAGUGAC